UGUGGAAUUUUCCACUCAUUUAUUCUUUCAUUUUCCACCUUCCUUUGCCUUCAAGUGUCAAUUGGCUCCUCUCAGUCACAGCUGUACAAAUCACAGGACCCUUUUUUUUUUAAUUGGCAGAAGACAUAUACAUUAUUCAUCUAUUCAUUUCCAUCUAAUGGAAAUCCAAAAAAGACAAUUUUAUUUCCCAACAAAACAUUUAAAGCUGUGUUCCCCCCCAUGAGAAACGGGACAGAAGACUCCAUCCAUGGCCUAUGUUGUGUUCGUCGCUCCAGUUGUAUCCGACCCUUUUCGAUCCCAUGAAACAUAGCCUACUAGGCUCCUCUGUCCGUGGAAUUCUCUAGAAAAGCCAACUGGUAAGGAAGUACUCUCUCUGCAAUAGCCAUGAGGUCUCAAGUGAGGUCUGCCAACAGGCAUGUGAGUGAACUUGGAAGCAGAUUCGCCCCCAACCCAUCCUUGAGCUGCCUGGAAAACUGGCCACCACCCCAGUUGUAGCCUUGAGACAGAAGAACACAGCAAAACCACCCCUAGAUUCCUGACUACAGAAACCAUGAGAUAAUAAAUGUCUGCCGUUUUAAGCCACUAAUUUUAGGGAUACUUUGUUACACAGCAAUAGAUAACUCAUGCAAAUGGAGAAAGCUUUCCAAUCAUCAAUGAGCUGAUGGCUGAAAAUCAUAUGAAUGCAUUUCAUUAAAUAAAAGAAGAUAAAAAAAACUCUCCCAUCUGCACAUUAAAAAAAAAAAAGAAACAGAAUUCGCUAGCCUAUUUUUUUUAAAUCCCAGAUAAAAUUAUCAGUGGAUUUGAACUAACUGCUAAAAAUACAGAAAUGCAACACCUUCUAAAGAGUUUUCAAUAAUGAAUGAAUGAUUGACACCAGAGAAGAUGAAGUUAUUAAUUAAACUUCAAGAAAGAUCUGAACAUAGUGCUCAAAGUAAAUAGAGUUGUGAUUUGGUCAAUCCUGCUAACAAACACUCCUGUUGAAACUCUCUUUGUAUAGUAUCUUGUUUUGAUUAAAACUAGAAAUUAAAAUAAACUGAACUUAAAACCAGUCCUUCAAAUUACCCUAUCACAAGGUAUCACACAAAAGUUUUCAAAAAUAUAUAACAUUUUCAAACACAUUGCUCAUGCUAAUAUUUAAUAAUAUUUUUGUGGGAGUAAAGAUUUUAAAUGUUGUCUAUGUAAUCUUGUCUCUGUGCAUUUUGUAAGAGAUACAAUGAACUAGUAUGAUGUACAUGUACAUAAACAAUUAAAUAUCAAUAUAAAUUAUUAAAUAACUACCUAGUUGGAGAGGACAGGCUCAAGUUAUUUUAACAAUUGAAACAGUUUAUAUAUCCCUGACCUUGAAGGAAAGUCCAAAUGCUUUCCCUGAGUGUGUAUAGCUUCCACCUAUCUUUCUAGCCCUGUGCUUAGAGCCACUUGCAAUUCUCAAGACACUCUUGAGUAAGCUUAGAAGUGAAUCCUCCCCCAGAAGCCUUUCUUCCAGCACCACCCCUACCUGGCCGCUAUGUUUACUAAAAGUUUCUUCUCAUAUUUCAAUGGUCAGCUUACUUGUCAGCUAUUCCAUGGCAUUUCCUCUUCCCCUUCCCCUCCCUCCACCUCCCAAAAUAUACAGUACCUUUGUAAUUCCUUGAUUACAGGACUUACCGCACUGUGAUAAACAUCAAGGAUUUAUUUUUUCAUCUACCCUUAUCAAACUGACGGCACCCUACAAAACUUUCUCAGUAGAUGCAUGUACAAAUGAACUCAGUUUUUCAGAUCAUUUUCCUCCAUGGUUCAAAGCCUAACAAGGUGAGAAGAGACUCUUCCUUCAUCUUAUCCUGGCCAGCUAUCUGGAAAUUUUACCACCAAGAUUCGGUUUAGUAAACUUUUAAAUAUUUUUUCCGAAAUAUUUAAAAAUUGAUUUAAGGGCCAGAUCCAGCAUUUGAGAGCAGCUUUCUUAUAACGUUGGGUAAGCCAGCAUUGUCUGCCAGACUGCCUCAGGUUAAAUCUACUUCUGCCGCUUGGGCACAUUAAAUAUUCUCAUGGCACUCAAUUUCCUCAUCUAGUAAAUGAGGAAAAUAAUCAUUAAUGCAUAUAGGUAUGGCACAGAGUAAAAGUUCAAUAAGCGUUGGUUAUUAUCCUGUGCUUUUGAUAUUCAGCAAAUGAGUAAUAAGUGUUAACUAAGCUCCCAGAGUGGAUCUCCCAUGUACCUACCCCAGUGAACAGAUACGUGCGUCCACAGAGAGAGGCAUCUUAAGGACAGGGCUGUGUCUACUUUUAUUUUCAUUGUUGUAACCCCAGUGCCUGGCAUAGAGUAGGAGCUCCAUUAAUGUUUAUUGAUUUAUUUCAAAAUUCCCCAUACAUUCCUGCCUUGUACAGAUUUGAAUUCGCAUUGUGGUUCAGACCACGCUUUGGAAAGCAUUCUCAGGGCGGCUAUUGUCAGAAACAGGAUGUGGGGAAACAGUUAACGAGGCUGAUGUUGCAGGAAAAGCUGAGAAAGAGACAUGGGAGGAAAUUAUGGUUCAAUAGGGUCCAAAAGUCUAUCAGUAAUGUGAUGGGAAAUGAUUCACAAAUGCAGUAUUUACACAUAAGUACAAAAUGUUCCAGUGACUUCAAAAAGUAAAAUGGCUUAUUUUAAAACAAACAAACAACAACCUCGACAAAUUCUAACACAGAAUAAAAACUGUUUAAAAUUGAAUCAGUGUUGUAGUCAGAAUUCUUUCAGUUAUAGGUGACUAAUGCAAAGUUAACUGCUGUAAGAAAUGAAUUUUAUGGGCUUGCAUAAAUAAGGGUAGAGGUUUGUCUCGGAGACAUGUAAAUUGUCGUCAGGUGGGUCUUUCAUCUGUUUAUUCCUUUAUUUAUACAUCUACAUGUCCAUCUCUCUGACUUCCCAUCUAUCUCCCUAGCUUUUGAUUGUCUCUUACUUCAGGCAAGUGUUCUCCAUUUGGCAGAGAGAAAAAGGGGCAAAGCCACCAACAACUCCAAGCAUACAUCAUCUCAGUUCAUUAGCCAGAGAUGGGAAGUUCCUUUUCCCUCCUGGGUCUGUGUAGGGUGAGAAGGGUUGUUGGAUAACUGGAACAGUAUCUGUCUACCACAACCAUGAUGGAAAAACCACUCCAAAUUCUACUACUUCAACACACAAACCACUUGCCACUUUCACAUUUCCUGGCCAUGCUAGUGAAUAACUUUUAUAUGGUAUCCUGGCACAUAUUUUUUCAUUUGACGUUUUGUCAUAAGCAUUUUACCUGUUGCUACACAGACUUUAUAAUGACCAGUUUUA